rnacentral:rRNA from 1 species
GACGAACGCUGGCGGCGUGCCUAAUACAUGCAAGUAGAACGCAGUUGCGAACGGGUGAGUAACGCGUAGGUAACUGCCUCAUAGCUGGGGAUAACUAUUGGAAACGAUAGCUAAUACCGCAUACUGUGAGAUGGACCUGCGUUGUAUUAGCUAGUUGGUGUGGUAAAGGCUCACCACGGCGACGAUACAUAGCCGACCUGAGAGGGUGAUAGGCCCCACUGGGAUGGAGACACGGCCCAGACUCCAACGGGAGGCAGCAGAAGGGAAUCUUCGGCAAUGGACGAAAGGCUGACCGGAAAACGCCGCGUGAGUGAAGAAGGUUUUCGGAUCGUAAAACUCUAUUGUUAGAGAAGCGGUAUCUAACCAGAAAGCAACGGCUAACUACGUGCCAGCCGCCGCGGUAAUAC